CCUCUGCCAUUUUGGGGCUUAUUUUUUAAAACUUUCUGAGAAGUAGAAGCCUUUUCCUGUAUUCCAAAAGCAAAUAGUUCCAAGUAUACCAAGUCUGAAAAUCAAAUGAUAAAAUUAUAAAACCCAGGUCAGAAAAAAAGAAGUCAAUAGUCACAAAGUCAAGAAUUCAUUUUAUGAUUGAGUCAAAGCCUAGAGAAUAAACAUGUUUUGUUUUGUUUAGAUUUGGUUUACAAAUCAAACAAAACAAAACUAGGGUAGGUUGAGGUUCAAAUAGGUCUGCAGACAGUUUCUCAGUCGGUCUCUGUCUCUCCCUCUUCCUCCUUGAGUCUGUCUCUGCCUCUGUCUCUCCUCCCUGCCUGUCUUUGUUUCUGCCUUCUUUUUGUCUUUCUGUCUCUCUCUCUCCCUCUCUGUCUGUCUCUCCCUUUCUCUUUCUCUCCCUGACUGUGUCUGUCUCUGACUUUCCCUCUCUGUCUGUCCCUCCCUCUCUGUUUUUGUUUAUCUCCUCUCUCUUUCUGUCUGUCUCUCUCCCUCUCUCUCUGUAUUCUCUCUGUCUAUCUCUGUCUCUUCCUCUUUCCUGUGGCUGCCUGUUUCUUAUCUCUCUUUCCCUCUUCCUGUUUGUCUUUGUCUCUCCCUCUCCCUCCCUUUCUCUGCCUCUGUCUCUCUCCCUCUCCCUCUCUAUCUCUGUUUGUCUUCUCUGUCUCUCUGCCUCUGUCCCUCUCUCUCUCCCUCCCUGUCUCUCCUUUACCCUUUCCCUCCUUUUCUGUUUCUCCCUUUCCCUCUUCCUUCCUGUCUCUGUCUCCUCUCUGUCUCUGUUUGUCUCUAUUCUGUCUCCCUCUCCCUCCCUGUCUCUCCUUUACCCUCUCCCUCCUUGUCUGUCUUUGUCUCCUCUCUGUUUCUCUCCUCCCCCUCCCCCCCCCCCUCUGAUUUCUCUCUCUCUCAAAUUUGGCAUCAAGAAAAAAGAAACAGGGGCAGCUGUGUGGCUUGGUGGAGUGAGAGCCAGGCCUAGAGACAGGAGGUCCUAGGUUCAAAUCUGGUCUCAGACACUUCCCAGCUGUGUGGCCCUGGGCAAGUCACUUCACCCCUAUUGCCUAGCCUUUACCAC
rnacentral:lncRNA from 1 species